ACAUUGGCCACCCAAAAAUGAAUUUUCAUUGACCUGUUCCUUUAAUUUGUAAGAAUAACCACAGCAGUACCACUGUAUUUUUGUGGAAUUACUAUUCAUUUUAAAUUGAUAUAAUGAAGACAUCACACUGUUGCGUAAUUUCACUAUACAAAAGCAGAGAACUAAGCUUUGCUGAGCUCCACUGCGUUUACGCACUCCGCUAUCACAUUCUCUAACAACACAAAGUGAAAUUCAUAAGAAGCGAGGACAUAGUGACCCACAUGUAAGUGGGCCAGUGAGAGUAAGCUGCGCUAAAAGAACAUCAUCUGAUGUCAGACAGAGAGCGAUAUUGUGUGUGUGUGUGUGCAUUAAGCGAGCAAUGGAAACUGUGCUCCAUAGGCAGAGCCCGGAGAUCUCCCCGAGGAGGUCUGAUCCACCGAGUUGUGGCUGGGAGCAAACUGAGCACGUCCAGCUGGAAAUGUCACAGCACGUGCGCAUAUUUAUGUGAGUGCAUGCACAUGCAUGUUUGUGUGUGCUUGAGCAUCAUGAUUUAUGAUGAUUGUGAUUCUGCAGGUGAUGGAUGACCACAUUAGCGGCAGGAGGUUUUUUCCCCAAAGUCUCUCGCUGUAUAUAUAUUAUGCGGUGCACAAUAAAUUCAGCUCUACAUGUCUGCAAUGAAUAUACAUAAAUAAAUAAAGCAGAGGAAUGAUUUCUCAGCCGUGUUAGCGCACAUGUAUCAUCUGGAGGGAUUAUCCAUUACUCAUGGCAUUACAAUGAUACAAUACUUGCUUACAAAGUGCCACGUCAUCAUAUUAAAAUUAUUUUUGGACAUGUUGUUUUUGGGAGGCUUGUGUAACUUUGCUUUGAUCCUGCUCUUUUGUUAUAAAUACCAUGAAAAGUAAUACUCCCUGUGCCUUCCGAUUCAUGCUGCUUGUGUUGCUAGGCAACAUGUAGCCAAUGCUAAACAUGGCUGAUAUUAGUUUGUCAAGUCUAUGGCCGUGCUGGGAUUACAGCUUUUCUUUUCUUUCUUUCUUUUUUUUUUUUUGUUUUCCAAAUCUUGACCAAUUUUGAAAUAAGUUUCAUCAUACACAGCUUCAGAGAUUAUCUGCUCCGAAGUCGCAAAUGCACACUUAGACAACAAGAACAGAGGAUGCAAGAUGUUGAAAGGCUCUCUCGAACAGAGAGCGACCCUGUUUAACCAGCUCAUCACACUUUCUACAUCUCCCUUCAGUUAUCAUGUGCACAAGAAGGCAAACUUUUAGACCUCCUGCUCUCUUUUCCCUCUCUCUCUCUCUCUCUCACUCUCUCACACCUGAACUUGUGAACUCUCCCCAUCUCUCCAUUAUCUGUGCAAGUGAAGACGUGUUAGCCUCAGCAGUUUCGGCCACAAUUUCUUUUUUUUUUUUUUUUUUUCUUUUCACCUACAUCUGUCCUUCAGACCUGCGGACACCUACAGAAGCGAGUUAUAUGGUUGUGAUCAGCGAAGCCGCUUGUACUGCCUCACACUUAUCUUUUUUCACGCUGCUCAGAGAAACCCAGUCAAAUUAUUUCGGCUUGGCAGGAAAACAGAUCCAAACCACAUUGUGCACUUUGAGACAAUCCGUGUUGGAAAAGCGCACUUACUAGAUGGCAACUUAACCAGGGGGGUUUGGACAUUGAUUCAGGUAAGAAGCACCACAGGAACCACACACCUCUGGGAAGUGACGGUGACUGGCCUGGCUUGACUCGGUUUGAUACGGCAUGUCAGCUGAGCAGGGCUACCAGCUUGAAAGGGCGGGAACUGAGGCUGCCACGGUCGUGAGACAUCUGGGUAAAACUGGAAAUGGAAACGCAAAUCAGCGUGUUGCGGCUUGGCCAAAACGCCGGUGGAGGAGCCCAUCUAUGCUCAAUCCCCUCACUGCAGGACUUACCACAAAAUGCAGCACCAGCACUAGUAAGAUUAUGGAGGUUCCUCAUUACCCUAUAGCUAUAGGCUAUUCAAGCUUCCAGGCUCAGGACAACACCUCUUCAGCCACCAGUCCAACAGGGACCGACUCAGAUAAAGCUUCUUUCCUCAGGCCAUCAGGACUGCAUACGGUGACCUCGGUAUGCCCCCUGCAUUAUUGAGCAUGUGUUUUACAUCCUGCAUUUAUACUCUUAUUUAUCACUUCUUUCCUUUUAUUUAUUUAUAUUUUUUUUAUACUUUCAUAUUUUUGCCUUCUCCUUAGCACAGCCUUAAGGGUAUGCUUCACUGCUUUUCACAACACAUAUUGUUUGUAUAGGUGAAAAACAAACAUUUUCAUCCUUGCAUCUAAAGAUUGAGAGAAUAACUUUUUCUGGAAAUCCAACAAAGAAUGUGUUGACAGAUAAAAUAACAGGACUAGAAUGUAUUUAUGCGGCUGAUCCAGUUAAAGCAGACAUAUUGCACAUUCUCAGGUUCAUAAUUUUCAUUUGAGUUACUCUUAGAAGUAGGUUUUAAUGAUUUAUUUAUCAUACAUAUAUAUUUAUGAUUAUAUUCAUUGGAUGGAUGGAUAGAUGGAUAAAUCAGUUUUCUCAUACUGGUGAGGGCUGCAGCCCUGUAUCCCCCCUUUGUCUCAGAUGCUGUGUUUUAGCUCCUGUCUCUUUAAGGUCCCCUCCCUGAAAUGCCCCGUGUGCUCUGAUUGGUCAUGCCUGAGACAGCAACGCUCACCAUGUCCCCAGUCGCCACUGUCCUGUUUCCAGCUUCCAGUAAGCUGCACUUCAAUCGUGAAAAUAGCCGCAAAUCAUGAAAACAAUGGCGACAUAGUGAUGUCAGCAAGUCACAGAAUUAAAGGCGGGACUACAGGCGAGGCGUUUCAGGAGCAGUGUUUUCUGUGGGAGAGAGGAGCGACUGCUGGUGCGGCAUUUGAGCUUCUUUACAUUCAAAACCUGCACAAGAACCUAUAAAACUCACUGAAGGGGACGGAAUUUCUUAUAAAGAUUCUUCAGCCUGAUACCUGAUAAAGCAGUCCUACUGUAAUAGAAUGAUCUAAUACAACUCCAUAUAGUUCAAGGGUAGCUUUACAAGAAACACUUUAGAAAUCCUUUGCCAGUUGGCAAAUUUCCAUCUUCUCUAGUCAUAUACCAUGACGCUGCGCUUCAUACUGUGCACUGUCCUACAGUAAGACUGUGUCUAUAUGUUAAGAUCAGAAUCACUUUUUUUUUCCCUCAAGGCUUCAAGGGGCCCAGUUUGAAACUGAGUCAUGCAGGGGCUCUGCUGUAUGUCAUGUUGGCUCCCUGCAGAUCCUCUGGCUCCCUCUGAUCAAGACAUUCCCUCAGCUCCUCUUUGUCACUAACAGUCAGCUUCUACAACUAUGUUUCUAUUCUUGUUCUCGAUUUAAAAAAAAAAAAAAAAAAAAAAAAAAAGGGUUUAUCCAGCCUCUGGGUCAUCCUCAGCUGUGUUUUGGAGUCGCGGGUCACAGCUGGGUAACAGGUAAAAUGUGUCAAUACACCAUGAUUAACCAUAGCUGCGAGGGCGCCACACAAUGUGCUUAAUUUUCGACUGAAAUGACACUGAUGGACCGUGAUGACCUGUUUUAAGAAGUGAUGCAAUAAUAACUUAUUGGGGAAAGGAGAGGUCGCCCUAAAUCAGAGUUCAUGUGUGUUAUUCCUGUGGUCGCAGAUGGUUCAAUUCAUCAUCAUUUCAUUAGAAAGGAUAAGUCACACAGAGGCCUCACAAAGAGAAUCGACAGCCUGGUCUGUGAUUUUAUAGUGUGAUGCAAAAAUGUGUGUC